AUCGCCACUCUAAAGUUUCUUUUAAUUUUCAUGAAUCUUACACGACAGUUUUGUAGUGUAUAUAGAACGUAGAAAUAAUAGAUAUAGCAGCAUAUGGGACUGGGAAUAUUAUAUACCUGAUAUUUAGGACUCUUAAUAGUUACUAGUAAUGGCUAAUGCCUUAGAGACCUGUUAGUGCUGUUAGUAAUGUCAAUGAAACUAAUAUUUGGUCUUUAGUACACAAGC